UACGUAGGGGGCAAGCGUUGUCCGGAUUUAUUGGGCGUAAAGAGCGUGUAGGCGGCUUGGUAGGUCCGCUGUGAAAACUCGAGGCUCAACCUCGAGAUGUCGGCGGAAACCACUUGGCUAGAGUCCGGAAGAGGAGAGUGGAAUUCCUGGUGUAGCGGUGAAAUGCGCAGAUAUCAGGAAGGAACACCAUAGUCGGCGAAAGGG
rnacentral:rRNA from 1 species